rnacentral:rRNA from 1 species
UGAGGAAGUAAAAGUCGUAACAAGGUCUCCGUUGGUGAACCAGCGGAGGGAUCAUUACCGAGUUUACACUCCCAAACCCCUGUGGACCUCUACCUAUUACUGUUGCCUCGGCGGGCACGGGCGGGGACGCCCCCUCGCGGGGGCACCGGGGCCAGGCGCCCGCCGGAGGGCCCAAACCCUUCUGUAUUCUCUUACGCAUGUCUGAGUGGAUUUACAAAUGAAUCAAAACUUUCAACAACGGAUCUCUUGGUUCUGGCAUCGAUGAAGAACGCAGCGAAAUGCGAUAAGUAAUGUGAAUUGCAUAAUUCAGUGAAUCAUCGAAUCUUUGAACGCACAUUGCGCCCGCCAGUAUUCUGGCGGGCAUGCCUGUCUGAGCGUCAUUUCAACCCUCACGCCCCUAGGGCGUGGUGUUGGGGAUCGGCCAUGCGCCCGCGAGGGACGGCCGGCCCCUAAAUCUAGUGGCGGACCCGUCGUGGCCUCCCCUGCGAAGUAGUGAUAUUCCGCAUAGGAGAGCGACGAGCCCCUGCCGUUAAACCCCCAACUUUCUCAGGUUGACCUCAGAUCAGGUAGGAAUACCCGCUGAACUUAAGCAUAUCAAUAAACGGAGGAA